rnacentral:rRNA from 1 species
CCUACGGGAGGCAGCAGUAGGGAACCUUUCACAAUGGGCGAAAGCCUGAUGGAGCAACGCCGCGUGCAGGAUGAAGACCUUCGGGUUGUAAACUGCUUUUAUAAGCGAGAAAUAUGAUGGUAACUUAUGAAUAAGGAUCGGCUAACUACGUGCCAGCAGCCGCGGUCAUACGUAGGAUCCGAGCAUUAUCCGGAGUGACUGGGUGUAAAGAGUUGCGUAGGUGGCAUAAUAAGUAGCUAGUGAAAUCUGGUGGCUCAACCAUUCAGACUAUUAGCUAAACUGUUAAGCUCGAGACCGUUAGGGGUAACUGGAGUUUCUAGUGUAGGAGUGAAAUCCGUAGAUAUUAGAAGGAACACCAAUAGCGUAGGCAGGUUGCUGGGACGGUUCUGACACUAAGGCACGAAAGCGUAGGGAGCAAACGGGAUUAGAUACCCCUGUAGUC